rnacentral:rRNA from 1 species
UACCAGCUCCCUGAGUGGUAUGGACGAUUAUUUGGCCUAAAGCGUCCGUAGCCGGCUUAUCAAGUCUCUUGUUAAACCCAAUGGUUCAAUCAUUGAUCUGCAAGAGAUACUGUUAUGCUAGAGGACGGGAGAGGUCGACGGUAGUCCAGGGGUAGGGGUGAAAUCCUAUAAUCCUUGGAGGACCACCAGUGGCGAAGGCGGUCGACUAGAACGUGCCUGACGGUGAGGGACGAAAGCUGGGGGAGCGAACCGGAUUAGAUACCCGGGUAGUCCCAGCUGUAAACGAUGCGGGCUAGGUGUUGGGGUAGCGUACGAGCUACUCCAGUGCCGCAGAGAAGUUGUUAAGCCCGCCGCCUGGGGAGUACGGCCGCAAGGCUAGAAACUUAAAGGGAAUUGGGCGGGGGGGCACCGACGAAGGGGUGAAGGCUGCGGUUU